rnacentral:lncRNA from 1 species
GCUCUAGGGGAAUAAAGAUGGAAUGACUUCUAAUUUUUAGGUCCGUAUGAUUUGAAAUACUUGCACACAAACCCCGAGAAAGCGUUCCUGGAAAUCUCGGCCCAAAAAGGACGUUUAGUAAUUCUAAAAGGGACUACAAGAUGAAAAACAAUAGUUUUGGCAGUUAAAGUUUGAGAAUCGAUGGUGCCGUAGAUCCGUUUGGUCAUCAGGUGUUACGAGCACACCCAUGUCUAGCUUGAAUAGUGUGUCAGGCUCAGUCUAGAGAAGAAACGGGGAACAAACUGAUGAAAGAAUUAUCAUACCGAGGGAAUUCACUCAGAAUUAACAAGAAUGAUAACGUGCUCCGACUUGAGCGGUUUAGGAACAGCUGGAAGGCUCUAGGGGAAUAAAGAUGGAAUGACUUCUAAUUUUUAGGUCCGUAUGAUCUGAAAUACUUGCACAAAAACCUCGAGAAAGCGUUCCUGGAAAUCUUGGCCCAAAAAAGGACGUUUAGUAAUUCUAAAAGGGACUACAAGAUGAAAAAUAAUAGUUUUGCCAGUUAAAGUUUGAGAUUCGAUGGUGUCGUAGAUCCGUUUGGUCAUCAGGUGUUACGAGCCACACCCAUGUCUAGCUAGAAUAGUGUGUCAGGCUCAGGCUGGAGAAGAAACAGGGUACAAACUGAUGAAAGAAUUAUCAUACUGAGGGAAUUCACUCAGAACUAACAAGAAUGAUAACGUGCUCCGACUGGAGCGGUUUAGGAACUGCUGGAAAGGUCUAGGGGAAUAAAGAUGGAAUGACUUCUAAUUUUUAGGUCCGUAUGGUUUGAAAUACUUGCACACAAACCGCACGAAAGCAUUCCUAGAAAUCUCGGCCCAAAAAAUGACGUUUAGUAAUUCUAAAUGGGACUAUAGGAUGAAAAACAAUAGUUUUGGCAGUUAAAGUUUGAGAUUCGAUGGUGCCGUAGAUCCGUUUGGUCAUCAGGUGUUACGAGCCACACCCAUGUCUAGCUAGAAUAGUGUGUCAGGCUCAGGCUAGAGAAGAAACGGGGAACAAACUGAUGAAAGAAUUAUCAUAACGAGGGAAUUCACUCAGAACUAACAAGAAUGAUAACGUGCUCCGACUGGAGCGGUUUAGGAACUGCUGGAAGGCUCUAGGGGAAUAAAGAUGGAAUGACUUCUAAUU